rnacentral:rRNA from 1 species
UACGUAGGGGGCAAGCGUUGUCCGGAAUCAUUGGGCGUAAAGAGCGUGUAGGCGGCCCGGUAAGUCCGCUGUGAAAGUCGGGGGCUCAACCCUCGAAAGCCGGUGGAUACUGUCGGGCUCGAGUACGGAAGAGGCGAGUGGAAUUCCUGGUGUAGCGGUGAAAUGCGCAGAUAUCAGGAGGAACACCAAUUGCGAAGGCAGCUCGCUGGGACGUUACUGACGCUGAGACGCGAAAGCGUGGGGAGCAAACAGG